rnacentral:rRNA from 1 species
CAGUAGCCGCGGUAAUACAGAGGGUGCGAGCGUUAAUCGGAUUUACUGGGCGUAAAGCGUGCGUAGGCGGCUUCUUAAGUCGGAUGUGAAAUCCCUGAGCUUAACUUAGGAAUUGCAUUCGAUACUGGGAAGCUAGAGUAUGGGAGAGGAUGGUAGAAUUCCAGGUGUAGCGGUGGAAUGCGUAGAGAUCUGGAGGAAUACCGAUGGCGAAGGCAGCCAUCUGGCCUAAUACUGACGCUGAGGUACGAAAGCAUGGGGAGCAAACAGGAUUAGAUACCCCUGUAGUCCCUGUCUCUUAUAC